GAUGAACGCUGGCGGCGUGCCUAAUACAUGCAAGUCGAGCGAACGGACGAGAAGCUUGCUUCUCUGAUGUUAGCGGCGGACGGGUGAGUAACACGUGGAUAACCUACCUAUAAGACUGGGAUAACUUCGGGAAACCGGAGCUAAUACCGGAUAAUAUUUUGAACCGCAUGGUUCAAAAGUGAAAGACGGUCUUGCUGUCACUUAUAGAUGGAUCCGCGCUGCAUUAGCUAGUUGGUAAGGUAACGGCUUACCAAGGCAACGAUGCAUAGCCGACCUGAGAGGGUGAUCGGCCACACUGGAACUGAGACACGGUCCAGACUCCUACGGGAGGCAGCAGUAGGGAAUCUUCCGCAAUGGGCGAAAGCCUGACGGAGCAACGCCGCGUGAGUGAUGAAGGUCUUCGGAUCGUAAAACUCUGUUAUUAGGGAAGAACAUAUGUGUAAGUAACUGUGCACAUCUUGACGGUACCUAAUCAGAAAGCCACGGCUAACUACGUGCCAGCAGCCGCGGUAAUACGUAGGUGGCAAGCGUUAUCCGGAAUUAUUGGGCGUAAAGCGCGCGUAGGCGGUUUUUUAAGUCUGAUGUGAAAGCCCACGGCUCAACCGUGGAGGGUCAUUGGAAACUGGAAAACUUGAGUGCAGAAGAGGAAAGUGGAAUUCCAUGUGUAGCGGUGAAAUGCGCAGAGAUAUGGAGGAACACCAGUGGCGAAGGCGACUUUCUGGUCUGUAACUGACGCUGAUGUGCGAAAGCGUGGGGAUCAAACAGGAUUAGAUACCCUGGUAGUCCACGCCGUAAACGAUGAGUGCUAAGUGUUAGGGGGUUUCCGCCCCUUAGUGCUGCAGCUAACGCAUUAAGCACUCCGCCUGGGGAGUACGACCGCAAGGUUGAAACUCAAAGGAAUUGACGGGGACCCGCACAAGCGGUGGAGCAUGUGGUUUAAUUCGAAGCAACGCGAAGAACCUUACCAAAUCUUGACAUCCUUUGACAACUCUAGAGAUAGAGCCUUCCCCUUCGGGGGACAAAGUGACAGGUGGUGCAUGGUUGUCGUCAGCUCGUGUCGUGAGAUGUUGGGUUAAGUCCCGCAACGAGCGCAACCCUUAAGCUUAGUUGCCAUCAUUAAGUUGGGCACUCUAAGUUGACUGCCGGUGACAGACCGGAGGAAGGUGGGGAUGACGUCAAAUCAUCAUGCCCCUUAUGAUUUGGGCUACACACGUGCUACAAUGGACAAUACAAAGGGCAGCGAAACCGCGAGGUCAAGCAAAUCCCAUAAAGUUGUUCUCAGUUCGGAUUGUAGUCUGCAACUCGACUACAUGAAGCUGGAAUCGCUAGUAAUCGUAGAUCAGCAUGCUACGGUGAAUACGUUCCCGGGUCU
rnacentral:rRNA from 1 species